GGCGGACGGCUGAGUAACGCGUAGGAACGUGCCCCAAAGUGAGGGAUAAGCUUCAGAAAUGAAGUCUAAUACCGCAUAUGGUCUUCGGAUUAAAGCUUCGGCGCUUUGGGAGCGGCCUGCGUACGAUUAGAUUGUUGGUGAGGUAAAGGCUCACCAAGUCGACGAUCGUUAGCUGGUCUGAGAGGAUGAUCAGCCAGACUGGAACUGAGACACGGUCCAGACUCCUACGGGAGGCAGCAGUAAGGAAUCUUCCACAAUGGGGGCAACCCUGAUGGAGCAACGCCGCGUGCAGGAUGAAGGCCUUCGGGUCGUAAACUGCUUUUAUGAGUGAAGAAUAUGACGGUAACUCAUGAAUAAGGGUCGGCUAACUACGUGCCAGCAGCCGCGGUCAUACGUAGGACCCAAGCGUUAUCCGGAGUGACUGGGCGUAAAGAGUUGCGUAGGUGGCUCGUUAAGCAGAUAGUGAAAUCGUGUGGCUCAACCAUUACGGCUAUUAUCUGAACUGGCGGGCUCGAGAAUGGUAGAGGUAGCUGGAAUUUCUAGUGUAGGAGUGAAAUCCGUAGAUAUUAGAAGGAACACCAAUGGCGUAGGCAGGCUACUGGACCAUUUCUGACACUGAGGCACGAAAGCGUGGGGAGCGAACCGGAUUAGAUACCCGGGUAGUCC
rnacentral:rRNA from 1 species